GAUGAACGCUGGCGGCGUGCUUAACACAUGCAAGUCGAACGGAAAGGCUCCUGCUUGCAGGGGUACUCGAGUGGCGAACGGGUGAGUAACACGUGGGUGAUCUGCCCUGCACUUCGGGAUAAGCCUGGGAAACUGGGUCUAAUACCGGAUAGGACGAUGGUUUGGAUGCCAUUGUGGAAAGUUUUUCGGUGUGGGAUGAGCUCGCGGCCUAUCAGCUUGUUGGUGGGGUAAUGGCCUACCAAGGCGUCGACGGGUAGCCGGCCUGAGAGGGUGUACGGCCACAUUGGGACUGAGAUACGGCCCAGACUCCUACGGGAGGCAGCAGUGGGGAAUAUUGCACAAUGGGCGCAAGCCUGAUGCAGCGACGCCGCGUGGGGGAUGACGGCCUUCGGGUUGUAAACUCCUUUCGCUAGGGACGAAGCGCAAGUGACGGUACCUGGAGAAGAGGCACCGGCUAACUACGU
rnacentral:rRNA from 1 species